ACUCUACGAUCGGCGGAAGUUAUCGAGGAUCCUUAAACCGUCACCGGAAAUACCGCCGUGCUUAGAGCCCAUUGCAACCAAACGGUUGUUUGGCACCAUUGACUUCCAUAGCAGAGAAAAAAUAUACUAUGUGAGUCAAUGGUGCCAUAGUUCCAAUCUUUCUUCAAAAUAUCUAUCUUUGUGAUUAUCAGAAGAAACUCGUGCAAGUUUGCAACAACUUGAAGGUGAGUAAAUAAUAAAGAACUUCCAUUUUUGGGUGGAGUAUUGUAAACUGGUCAAAAUGUGUAGAACAUUUCGUUCCCUCUGCCCUAACUACCCUUUUUAAGCAUAUUUCACUUAUGGAAUCACAAUUAAUUUGUUUUAAAGCUUAAAAAAUGUGCCAGUUAAUAUUAAACGUGUGGGGUCUUUAGAAUGUUGUCUUGCACAAUUGGGGCCCAUUGAGCUUGAGGACUGCUGAUGGAGAGAAUAUACAAGAUGCAUGUUCGUGAAGUGAGUAAGUUUCUUGUGUUAGAGUAAGGAUUUAGCUUAAAAUUAUGUUUUUUCCCCUUUAGUGUAGGUUAAGCUAUUUACUCUGCAUAGGCAUGUUAAAAACAAUGGGGCUAAUUGUGUAAUGUCAAAGUCCCCCUGUAGUCAAUUUAGCCCCCCACACCCACACACUAGUAGUGUGUAGGGGCUUUUUUGCCUUAGUAUACAAGGUUCUAUGAAUAUGCAAAUUGUCCCCGCCCUCACACCACCUCAGAUCCACUCAUUGACGAUCACACUGUAGUUUGAAGGAGAAAAUACACAGCGAUGAUGUUAUGUAUCUGCAUUCUGCACAUAGUUUGUGUUCGUAUUUAAAAACUCCAUAUAGGCAUAUAAACAUUAAUAAAAUCUUGUUUUUCACCAUGGGGACUUUGAACUGGCCUGAUAGUACAGCCAAAAUCUGUGUAAAGUUUGCUAAUAUUUUUUGAAUAAAGACAUACAUUUGUUGUAACAAUGAUCUGCCAUAUUCAGUAAAACUUUAAAUCAUCUGCUGAAACAUCAGAUCAAAUAAUACAUAAGAAUUAAUGUACUGAGCUCAGGACUCGUGUUUGUAGUGACAACAGUGUCUUCAGUUUACAUAAAUGACUGCACAAGUCUAAAUCCAAAAGGAGAUAGAGGUAGGACGCCUUGAAAAUGUUUGAAAAUCAACAUGAACUGAAAUCUAUUUCAAGCUCAUUUUCGGAUCUAUGUUUGCCUAUUCUUGAUCAAAGUUUUUUAUAGCUGGGUUUUAAAUGUCUGCACAAAGCAGUACAUCAAAUAAAAUGUUAACAACUGGAUCAGCUCUUCUGUUAAUUGACUCUAUAUGAUUGUUUUGAGCACAGGAACAUUGUGUUCCUUUUUCUCACCGAACAGGGCGUGUUUUUAAUUUAUUUUAUAAACCAUGUGGCAAACAGGUGCACUUGCCUAACCAGUUUACACCACAAGGUGGCCCUAAAUUACCACAGUAGAGUAAAAUCCAACCACCAGAGCUCUAGGAAGGCUGACAAGAGCAACGUGUUGAUAAUCCUACUGCCACAUUUAGAAUAGUGCAUGGCAUCUGUGAGGGGCAUGAAGCAAUGGAGGAAAGCAGGGCAGGAAAAACCUCUCAAAUUACACUUGUCAAGGAGGACACAAACCACAAAAGAAGCAAUUCAAACAAGGUUAUGUGUUUAUCGGACUGUUCUGGCAAAUGUUAUGGAGAAAGCAUGUGAAUCAGCUGUUUGGUGAUGGAUGAAUGGACCAGCCUUUUGGCCUUAUAGACAAAUCAGCAGUUCAAGAAGAUAAAGAGACGAGGUGCUAGAAAUGCGGUUCGCCCCUGCUCCGUCGUCAUCAAGGAGACAGUUUGGCAAGGAGGAAUCGGACACUGAUGCGGUCGCAAACUAUGUCAAGGACGCAAAAACCUGCUACAGUUCACCUGUACAACAUCUGAGUGCACAAAUGCAGAGAGGAAUUGACCCACUAAACCAACAACUCUCUGCACUCUUCCUUACAUUUAAGGUGUAGUUCACCCCAAAAUCAAAACUUUGCUAUUAUUUACUCACUGUUAUUUUUUGUUUCAUUAGUACAACCCUAAUUAAUUCAAUGUUGUUUGCAUACAAUGACAUUUCAUAAAAUAAAUCACUAUAAACUGUU